rnacentral:lncRNA from 1 species
AGUUUAGGGUUUGGAGACGGCCGUCAUCCCUCGCGCAGCGCGGCUAAUCGUUCGACACGGAGACGACCGCCGCCGGCAGCCGAGCUGAUCAGUCUGUAUCUAUUCCCCACGGGAGCAAAAGCAAGGUUGGCGAAUGUCAAGGAGCUUGACAGGUAGUCUGUAGCUCCCUCGGUUGCCGAUUCGGUCGGAGGCGCAGGGAACCCCGAUGAUAACCAUAACUUCCUGAUGAUUAGCAUUGUUUGCACAAAGAACGGAGAUCUUAAUGCGCAUCCCGUCGAAGCCUGCUUGGUCGCCUCAGCUCGUUGCCAUCUCUACUACUCCCUCCGUUUCAAAAUAUAUAAGUAGUUUUCUCUCGAGGGAAACUACAACCACACACACACACACACAUGAUGUAUACAUUUAUGUUAGUGUAUGUAUAUCCUCUGCUCCUCGUCCACCACUUGGCUGGCCGAGCAGGCUCCGGGAAAUGCGUCUGUAGAUGCAAAAGUUAUGAAGGCUGUCCCAGAUUGGAAGAAUGCCCUGCCUAAGGUAAUUUUUAACUUGUUUAUCGAGCUUUGCAUUGCAGCCUGGGCUGCUUCUGAUUUGCUCAGCAUCACGUUAAUGAUGUCGCUUUAAUUUGACUGAUAUAUGAGUUACAAUGAUGGAUAUUUGAGUUACAUGACUGAUAUUUGAGUUACAAACAUGCAGUAUUUUACCCUAUGGGCAAAAUUGGCAGAUGAUGAGAAUCAAAGACAAUUGCGUCUGCUGUGCUCCUUAUUCAUCGGGGCACAAUGUCAUGAUGACCAUGUCUAGGGGAAUCUCUGAUGCUAAUGUGAAUUUUCUUAUAUACUCCAUCUCUUCCAAAUCGUUAGAUGUUUUGGCUUUUAUAGAUAUAUUGCUUUUGCUAUGUAUCUAAAUAAUACUCCCUCCGUUCAUAAAUAGUUCAUAAAUAUAUGACACCUCAUAAACAUAAACAUAUGACACGGUGACCACCCCUCUUAUUUAAAAAAUAUUUUAAAUAAUGAGUUAUCAUUUACUUACUCUUCUUAUUCAAAAAAAUAAUGAGUUAUCAUUAACUUUUUUGUGAUUUGUUUUAUCACUUAAAGGUAGUUUGUAUUUGG